AUUGAACGCUGGCGGCAUGCUUUACACAUGCAAGUCGAACGGCAGCGCGGGCUUCGGCCUGGCGGCGAGUGGCGAACGGGUGAGUAAUACAUCGGAACGUGCCCAGUAGUGGGGGAUAGCUCGGCGAAAGCCGGAUUAAUACCGCAUACGACCUGAUGGUGAAAGCGGGGGAUCUUCGGACCUCGCGCUAUUGUAGCGGCCGAUGGCAGAUUAGCUAGUUGGUGGGGUAAAGGCCUACCAAGGCGACGAUCUGUAGCUGGUCUCAGAGGACGACCAGCCACACUGGGACUGAGACACGGCCCAGACUCCUACGGGAGGCAGCAGUGGGGAAUUGUGGACAAUGGGCGAAAGCCUGAUCCAGCAAUGCCGCGUGUGUGAUGAAGGCCUUCGGGUUGUAAAGCACUUUUGGCGGGAACGAAAAGGACUGUGCCAAUACCACGGUUCGAUGACGGUACCCGCAGAAUAAGCACCGGCUAACUACGUG
rnacentral:rRNA from 1 species